GGAUGUGAGGGUGAUCUGGCUGCGACAUCUGUCACCCAAUUGAUCGCAUUGAUCACCAGGGUUGAUUCAGCUGAUCUGGCUGGCUAGGUGGGUGUCCCCUUCCUCCCUCACCGUUCCAUGUGCAUCCCUCCCGAAGCUGCAGGCUCAGUCAAAGAGGAAAACCUUCCCUGAAUAGAGGAGGACCUGUCUUUGGUCAAGCACAUAUGAGUAGUUGCAUUCCCCUGCUAGAACCUCCAAACAAGCUCUCAAGAGGUCAUGGGGAAUGAGAUGAGACACAGCACCCAGCACUGUGCAGGGAACAUGUGAUUCUU
ensembl:misc_RNA 7SK 7SK RNA